UCCGGUUAAGCAUUUCCGGCCAAUAGUUGCAGCUAACCUAGAUAACCAACACACCUCUCACAACUUCCCAAACAUGGAUUCACGCAAAACAGACAUUUUGUUUUCGAUAAGUAGAUGACACAAUAACUGGUAGAAACGAAGGCUGUUCAUGGAGCAGGAGUGUUUUGACCACCAAACUUUUGGGGGAGCGAGUUCAGUUCUUUUGAUUUGCAGUCUAUUUGGCUCAAAGCAUUGAACUUUAAGAAACCACCAAACCGCUAUUUGUGUUCGUAUCACUUCGUGAAUAAGAGGCCGACUGAAGAGUGUCCUUUCCCUGAGAAAUGGCUAGGCUAUGAUGCUACAGUACAGACCAGAAGGCGACAUCUCCAGCUAUCGUCACAGAUGUGGUGUCCUGAAUCAUGUAGAAGUUAGCAAACUAGAUGCAGACAACUGUGGUGAUGCAGAGUCUAAUCUAAGUGUGCCAAUGCCACCACAGCAUACAGUUGCUGAUACUCAAUGGGAGUUUCCAGCAUUGACUUAUCACAGCUACGUGCCAAGAGAACCAGUCAACAAGCCCACCUGCCACAAACAAACCCAAUGUGGUGGUGCAGAGCCAUUGACCCACACCACCCAGAAUAAUGACACUAGCUCAGUGUUGUAUACUGGCCUAACUCUCUUAGUGUUUUCUUUGACCUUGUAUCAUUUCUGCAGAAAUUCUACACAACUAACUUCAGGGUGAUCUUGCUGAACACUUUGUUGUGUCCCAGGGAGUAGUGAGCAGAAUCCUUUCCUACUGGAUUGACACAAUGGAGGAGCACAAGGAUCUACAUUCCAUGGCUGUCGGGGGAGACGAUCCAGAACACAAUGCUUCAAAGAGAAGUUCCCCAACACCACUUGCAUCAUCGGCUGCUCUGUAACCACUCUUCAGAAAGCACAUAAGCUCGAUUUCAGGGGGGGGGGUCAUACAGCCACUAUUAUUCCAGCAAUACGCGGAAGUAUUUUCUCAAUGUGGAAUCAUUAUGUUUUUUUCUCCUGCACAUGGAGGCAGAUGCAGUGACAAGUUAAUCACCCAAAACUCUGGCUUCCUGGAAUACCUUAGGUCUGGCGACUAAGUUAUGGCAGACAGGGGCUUCACCAUCCGAGAUCUGUUUUAUGAGAGGAAGGUAAACCUUGCCAUACCAGCCGUCACUCAGAAAGGAGGCCAGCUGUCUGACGAGGAUGUCACAAGCACGAGAAGGUUAGCUAAUGUUAUCAGACAACUCAGGGGCAGUGGCAACCCAUCAUAAAGGGAAGGUGAGCCCCACAUUUAUAGCAAAAAAAUGAUAAAUAAAACAGGUGCUUGCCUGUUUUACAUGUUAUUUUGGCUUUAAUACGUGUCACGUAUCAGUUUGCAAACAAUGUAAAGAAAAGAAUGUGUGUAUAUAUAUCAUUGAGUUAAUAAAGCUGUGUACAAA